GAUGAACGCUAGCGGGAGGCCUAACACAUGCAAGCCGAGCGGUAUUGUUUCUUCGGAAAUGAGAGAGCGGCGUACGGGUGCGUAACACGUGUGCAACCUGCCUUUAUCUGGGGGAUAGCCUUUCGAAAGGAAGAUUAAUACUCCAUAAUAUAUUGAACGGCAUCGUUUAAUAUUGAAAGCUCCGGCGGAUAGAGAUGGGCACGCGCAAGAUUAGCUAGUUGGUGAGGUAACGGCUCACCAAGGCGAUGAUCUUUAGGGGGCCUGAGAGGGUGAUCCCCCACACUGGUACUGAGACACGGACCAGACUCCUACGGGAGGCAGCAGUGAGGAAUAUUGGUCAAUGGGUGCAAGCCUGAACCAGCCAUCCCGCGUGAAGGACGACUGCCCUAUGGGUUGUAAACUUCUUUUGUAUAGGGAUAAACCUACCCUCGUGAGGGUAGCUGAAGGUACUAUACGAAUAAGCACCGGCUAACUCCGUGCCAGCAGCCGCCGCGG
rnacentral:rRNA from 1 species